rnacentral:rRNA from 1 species
CUACGGGAGGCUGCAGUGGGGAAUAUUGGGCAAUGGGGGGAACCCUGACCCAGCAACGCCGCGUGAAGGACGAAGGCCUUCGGGUUGUAAACUUCUUUGAACAGGGACGAAACAAAUGACGGUACCUGAAGAACAAGCCACGGCUAACUACGUGCCAGCAGCCGCGGUAAUACGUAGGUGGCGAGCGUUAUCCGGAUUUACUGGGUGUAAAGGGCGUGUAGGCGGACCGGCAAGUCGGGUGUGAAAUCCCCGGGCUUAACUCGGGUAUGUCAUCCGAAACUGCAGGUCUUGAGUACUGGAGAGGAUAGUGGAAUUCCUAGUGUAGCGGUAAAAUGCGUAGAUAUUAGGAGGAACACCAGUGGCGAAGGCGGCUAUCUGGACAGUAACUGACGCUGAGGCGCGAAAGCGUGGGGAGCAAACAGGAUUAGAUACCCUAGUAGUC